GUUCUGAAGCUCCUUUUCUUUCUCCCUCCCUCUCUUUCAUACACAGAAACUCAGCCAAAAAACCCUAGCUUAAACUGUAAGCCUACACUGUAAGCCUACACCGACGCAAGGAGUGGCAUAGUGCCGCCGUCCGUCCAUCUAUCUAGCUUCCCUCGUGCUCCAAGUCUUCAACCCCUGUUCGCUGUUACCGAUCGCAGCUGCUUCCUCGAGCUCGGCGUCCGUCGUCUUUGUCUGUUCAGCCGCGCUUCCGCCGCCGUUUGUUUGCCGUUCACGUUCGCGUCUUCGUUCGCGUUCUUCGCUGUUCAAGUUUGCUCGGCGUUCAUCGUUCGCGUUCACUCGCCGUUCACCAUUCGGGUUCGCAUUCGCGUUCAUCUGGAAGCCACGUUGCUCUGCUUCAAACUCUGCGACCAACCCGCGCGCUCCACCUAGCCGUCGAACUGCUCUCUUUUGUCGCCGCCGUGAGUUGCCACCAGACAAUACACUCACACAACACGAAUACUCUGCUUCAAACUCUGCAACUUCUUAUUUCUAUUACAAUAAGAAAUUCUUUGAGGUAUAUAAGAAUUAAGAAGGAAGACUAUUUCAACGGUAUUACUCUGUUGAUUCUGGUUUGCUACAAGCUUGAACAUAGAAUUGAAGAGAGAAACCCUUUAUUAUUUCAUCAUUGGCCUAUUUUUGGCAUUGCAUAUCAUUGUAGUUUGUUGUUCAUAGUAGUUGUUUAUGAUCCCCUUUUGAAGUAAAAAAAAAGUAGUAGAAGAGUGUUUAGAACCAGUUGCUUUAUUCAUUAAAUUUUUAUAGAAUCAGGUGUUUAUUAUAAAACUGUUUUUCUGGUUGAAUGACGGUUGAACCGAUUAAACCAAUGAAUUAGUGAAUCGGUAACUAAAAUGGUUUGAUGACCGGUCCGGUUUUUAGAACCUUGGUUCAGAUUCAUUCACUUAGGUUACGCCCAAAAUUAAAAAUCCCAAAACCCACCCACCUAAGGAGCUGUAGCCGCCGGCCAUACCCUUAGAGGCAGCAGGAGGAGGCAGGCCUGAUUGGCUCCGUUGGCCAGUUCAGAAGGUCGCCGUCGCCGGCGUUGGUGCAGCCUUUGUCCUUGGCCACGUCGCCCUUGUCGCCCGCUUUGCCGCCGUUUCCCGUGCUAUUGUCAUUGCCCGCUGCUGUUGCCGAUUUAUUCUUGGCAUCAUCGCUCUUCUCACCCGCGUUGCCUGUCGUCGCCGGAUUUGUUGACGCUGACGUCUCUUGCUGUCGCUGCUCACUCCCCCACUUCCCUGUUCUUAACUCAGCGUCGUCUUCUUCAGAAUCUUGAGUACAAUAAAGUAGCAACAACAGCACUGCAGCAAUAAUCGAAGUCACAAUCUUCUCUGACACUAAAAUCACAAUCAUACUACUCAUUCCAUUCAGAUACAAGGCUCACACGUGCUCAUGGAUCUUGAGUUCUCUUCUUCAAGCUCUUAU